rnacentral:rRNA from 1 species
AUUGAACGCUGGCGGGAGGCCUAACACAUGCAAGUCGAACGAGUGGCGGACGGGUGAGUAAUGUCUGGGAAACUGCCUGGUGGCGGGGGAUAACUACUGGAAACGGUAGCUAAUACCGCAUACCAUGGGAUGUGCCCAAAUGGGAUUAGCUAGUAGGGGGGGUAAAGGCUAACCUAGGCGACGAUCCCUAGCUGGUUUGGGAGGAUGACCAGUCAAACGGGGACUGAGACACGGUCCAGACUCCUACGGGAGGCAGCAGUGGGGAAUAUUGGACAAUGGGCGAAAGCCUGAUCCAGCCAUGCCGCGUGUGUGAUGAAGGUCUUCGGAUUGUAAAGCACUUUUAGUUGGGAGGCGUUACCAACAGAAUAAGCACCGGCUAACUUCGUGCCAGCAGCCGCGGUAAUAC